rnacentral:rRNA from 1 species
GAUGAACGCUGGCGGCGUGCCUAAUACAUGCAAGUCGAGCGAACAGACGAGGAGCUUGCUCCUCUGACGUUAGCGGCGGACGGGUGAGUAACACGUGGAUAACCUACCUAUAAGACUGGGAUAACUUCGGGAAACCGGAGCUAAUACCGGAUAAUAUAUUGAACCGCAUGGUUCAAUAGUGAAAGACGGUUUUGCUGUCACUUAUAGAUGGAUCCGCGCCGCAUUAGCUAGUUGGUAAGGUAACGGCUUACCAAGGCAACGAUGCGUAGCCGACCUGAGAGGGUGAUCGGCCACAUGGGAACGUAGACACGGUCAAGACUCCUACGGGAGGCAGCAGUAGGGAAUCUUCCGCAAUGGUCGAAAGCCUGACGGAGCAACGCCGCGUGAGUGAUGAAGGUCUUCGGAUCGUAAAACUCUGUUAUUAGGGAAGAACAAAUGUGUAAGUAACUGUGCACGUCUUGACGGUACCUAAUCAGAAAGCCACGGCUAACUACGUG